rnacentral:rRNA from 1 species
UACAGAGGUGCCAAGCGUUAGGCGGAAUCACUGGGCUUAAAGCGCGCGUAGGUGGCUUCGUAAGUCCGUUGUGAAAGUCAAAGGCUCAACCUUUGAAAGCCGAUGGAUACUGUGAAGCUAGAGUACGGAAGAGGCGAGUGGAAUUCCUGGUGUAGCGGUGGAAUGCGCAGAUAUCAGGAGGAACACCAAUAGCGAAGGCAGCUCGCUGGGACGUUACUGACACUGAGGCGCGAAAGCGUGGGGAGCGAACAGG